AACGAACGCUGGCGGCAUGCCUAACACAUGCAAGUCGAACGAGACCUUCGGGUCUAGUGGCGCACGGGUGCGUAACGCGUGGGAACCUGCCCGUAGGUUCGGAAUAACUCCCCGAAAGGGGUGCUAAUACCGGAUAAUGUCUUCGGACCAAAGAUUUAUCGCCUUGGGAUGGGCCCGCGUUGGAUUAGCUAGUUGGUAGGGUAAAAGCCUACCAAGGGGACGAUCCAUAGCUGGUCUGAGAGGAUGACCCGCCACACUGGGACUGAGACACGGCCCAGACUCCUACGGGAGGCAGCAGUGGGGAAUAUUGGACAAUGGGCGAAAGCCUGAUCCAGCAAUGCCGCGUGAGUGAUGAAGGCCUUAGGGUUGUAAAGCUCUUUUACCCGGGAUGAUAAUGACAGUACCGGGAGAAUAAGCACCGGCUAACUCCGUG
rnacentral:rRNA from 1 species